GACGAACGCUGGCGGCGUGCUUAACACAUGCAAGUCGAACGGUGAAGCCCUUCGGGGUGGAUCAGUGGCGAACGGGUGAGUAACACGUGAGCAACCUGCCCCUGGCUCUGGGACAACCACUGGAAACGGUGGCUAAUACCGGAUACGACCCGCCUCGGCAUCGAGUGUGGGUGGAAAGUUUUUCGGCUGGGGAUGGGCUCGCGGCCUAUCAGCUUGUUGGUGAGGUGAAGGCUCACCAAGGCGACGACGGGUAGCCGGCCUGAGAGGGCGACCGGCCACACUGGGACUGAGACACGGCCCAGACUCCUACGGGAGGCAGAAGUGGGGAAUAUUGCACAAUGGGCGAAAGCCUGAUGCAGCGACGCCGCGUGAGGGAUGACGGCCUUCGGGUUGUAAACCUCUUUCAGCUCCGAAGAAGCGAAAGUGACGGUAGGAGCAGAAGAAGCACCGGCUAACUACGUG
rnacentral:rRNA from 1 species